UACGUAGGGUGCGAGCGUUUGUCCGGAAUUAUUGGGCGUAAAGAGCUCGUAGGCGGUCUGUCGCGUCUGCUGUGAAAACCCGGAGGCUCAACUUCGGGCUUGCAUUCGGAUACGGGCAGGCUGGAGUUCGGGUAGGGGAGACUGGAAUUCCUGGUGUAGCGGUGAAAUGCGCAGAUAUCAGGAGGAACACCGGUGGCGAAGGCGGGUCUCUGGGCCGAUACUGACGCUGAGGAGCGAAAGCGUGGGGAGCGAACAGG
rnacentral:rRNA from 1 species